ensembl:lncRNA
GCCGUCCGCCUGUUAGCGCCUGUGCCGGUCCUUAGGUCUUCUCGGUGUUCAGGUCUCCGUUCCCGGGUCACGUCGCGGAGGGGCUCUCUCGCGCCCAGCGAGGCCCCAGCCUGCAGCACUCCUCCCCAAUACCGGUUCUCAGGAAAGGGCUGUGAUUGGCCCCGUUCGGGUCUGGUGCUCGGCCUCAAUGUAUUCGUGGGGGGUGGAGGAUCAACCCAGCCAGGGCCACCUGCCCGCCCCAGCCAGGGCCGCUCACCGCUGUCCUGUGGAUGGGAGGGAGCGACUACUCUCAGAGGAGGCUACCGUUUUGCAUCCAGUACCCACCCUGGUAGAAAGGAGAGCUUUCUCUUGACCCGCUCAUUGGAAUUAGGCCCAAGACCCUAGGGUCCAGCGCUUCUGACACCCACACCAACAUCUUUCACCCCUUUGCCCUCCCAUCUGCAGCUGCCCGAGAAGGAUGUGGCCCCUGGACCAGCCGAAAUGUCCGUCUUCCUUGCUUCGGCUGCUGACAGCUAGGGGGAAAAUACUUUUGGAGAAGAACGCCAAGAUCCCUGUGUUGUUUCUCCUUCCCAGAGGCCUUUCACAGCUGCCCAGAAAUCACCUUCUGUUUCCUAGUCAGCUGGCGUACCAUUUUCCACGACUGCCACUGCAACCUUCUUCCUUUUGCUCAAGCCUUUAUCCAACCCAUGAUCCACCAUCACAGUCAUUGCCGGCAACAGUCAUCCCAGGAAAGAUGCCCAGACUACAAAGUUACCCUGCCUCGGGACCAAAGUUUCAGUUGUCUGCGGACCACGCUCCAAGCUAUCACCAAACUCUUAGCAACGGCACUGGAUGUCUGCUCACACUUAAACAGCACUGUGAGUAUGAUUCUAGAAAUAUAUGACUGCAAGCACCUACCUUGCAAACCUUCAGGUCCCUCAAAACCUCGUCCCCCACAGACAUGUGAACCCUGCCAGGAUAGGCUGUAACACAAGACACUGGCUUGGAUGGCUUUCUGUCUCUGGAAACCUCUCCACUUCCCACCUCCCUCCAUCCAUGUCUUAUGUGUUUCAGUAGAAACCGGCUGAGCUAAAACGUUCAUGUCUCACCUCCACACACCGAAGCGACCGCGAAAGCUGAGUCAAGACUCCACUAAGUCCUCCAUGUUCCCCUCCCACCUCCAGCUAUGAAGACGCAAGCAAGCAGCCUCCUGCCCUAGACGCAGCCGUUAUGUCCAAGAAGCCCAGAGUAACCAAUUCUGACCCUGACCCCGCAGAGUCGCUCUUUCACCGCGCCGGGAUAGCGGAUCCUUCUCCGGCAAGUGCUGCAUGCCUAAGAGGUACUGGGGUCCCGUGAGGGCCACACCUCGCUGGGGUGAAACCACGGCCCCUUUCACAUGGGGUAAAAUGCAGCAGUGUCAGCAAGCUUUAGCCGCUGUUCUCGGUGCCAGGUGGAGAGGCGGAGGAGAGGAGGCUGUCCUGGUACAGGGGCCAGUGCUGGGCUUCGAGGAAGGUGAGCAGGAAGCGGUGGGAGGGGUGGGCAUGGGACGGGGACGGGGUGCGCAGGGGAGCAAGCGAUCAGAAGACAAAGCAGAAGGAAGCUGCAGCCAAGGGCCCUGUGGUCUUCAAGGGUCAGCAGGUAAUCAGCACACUUGCCAGCAUGGCUAAGACACCAGUGAGCGCGACGCACCCCCCAGCCGCCCCCCCCAGCUCUGCGUUCAAGCCCCCUCGUCACAGCGCUCUGGGCACUGCUUUUUUUUUUUUCGUUUGAAGAUUUUAUUUAUUUAUUUGAUGAAGAGAGAGAGACAGCCAGCCAGAGAGGGAACCCAGCAGGGGAGUGGGAGAGGAAGAAGCAGGCUCCCAGCGGAGGAGCCUGAUGCGGGAUUCUAUCCCAUAAUGCCGGGAUCACGCCCUGAGCCGAAAGCAGACGCUUAACGACUGAGCCACCCAGACGGCCCAAGAGCGCUGCUAUUAUAUGAAUUCACAUAUGAGGAGAAGGGACUUGCCAUCCCAGUGCCAAGGCAGUCCUACCUGCGUAUCUCUGAGGCUCUGUUUUGAGAAAAUGACAUGAGAAGAGAGUGAAGUCCCAGGCCCUACCCGCAUCCCAGGGCCACGUGCGUUCCCCGUGUGACGAGAGAACCAGACGACUGCCAGAACGCACCUAAUUCUACUUCCAUGAUGCCAUCUUCCCAGCUCAAGACGCAGCCCAUGAAAAAUCCUGGAUGGGGGCAACCAGCUAGCUCAGUUGGCAACUCUUGAUCUCAGGGUCAUGAGUUCAAGUCCCACGUGGGGUGUAGGGAUUACUUAAAAUAUUAAAAAAAAAAAAAUUUGGAUGGGGGUGCCUGGGUGGUUCAGUCGGUCGAGCAUCUGCCUUCAGCUCAGGUCAUGAUCUGGGGGUCCUGGAAUCGAGUCCCGCAUCCGGGUCCCUGCUCAGCGGGGAGUCUGCUUCUCCCUCUGCCUGCCGCUCCCCCUGCUCGUGCUCGCUCUCUCUCAAAUAAAUACAUAAAAUAUUUAAAAGAAUAAAAAAGA